rnacentral:rRNA from 1 species
GAUGAACGCUGGCGGCGUGCCUAAUACAUGCAAGUCGAACGCUUCACUUCGGUGAAGAGUGGCGAACGGGUGAGUAAUACAUAAGUAACCUGGCAUCUACAGGGGGAUAACUGAUGGAAACGUCAGCUAAGACCGCAUAGGUGUAGAGAUCGCAUGAACUCUAUAUGAAAAGUGCUACGGGACUGGUAGAUGAUGGACUUAUGGCGCAUUAGCUUGUUGGUAGGGUAACGGCCUACCAAGGCGACGAUGCGUAGCCGACCUGAGAGGGUGACCGGCCACACUGGGACUGAGACACGGCCCAGACUCCUACGGGAGGCAGCAGUAGGGAAUUUUCGGCAAUGGGGGAAACCCUGACCGAGCAACGCCGCGUGAAGGAAGAAGUAAUUCGUUAUGUAAACUUCUGUCAUAGAGGAAGAACGGUGGAAAUAGGGAAUGAUAUCCAAGUGACGGUACUCUAUAAGAAAGCCACGGCUAACUACGUG